CAGGGAGACAAACAAUGAUUUUGAUGUCUGAGUUUUUUUAUUCUUAGGCCAAAAUCCUGUCACCUUAGGUCGAUCGGUACCUCAACUUUGAAGCUAAGAGAAUCCAGCAAUGGAUUUCUGCUUAGUGGAGAAUUUUAGUUCCUAAACUUUGUCUAGUUCACAACCCAUUAGGGAUGAGACUCCUGGGCCAUUAGCUCAGGUGGUUAGAGCGCACCCCUGAUAAGGGUGAGGUCCCUGGUUCAAGUCCAGGAUGGCCCAUUCGGUGUAGGGGGUUUAGCUCAGUUGGUAGAGCGCCUGCUUUGCAAGCAGGAUGUCAGGAGUUCGAGUCUCCUAACCUCCACUGACUACCAAGAAUCCCCAUCUCCAAAGCCUGGAGUAUGAACUCGUAUGGAUGGGGAUUUAAAUGUGUCCACUAGAUGACCCUGACUUCUUGUCUUUUAAGGCUUGAAAAAGAUUCCAGGAGAUUGAUGUAUAGGAU
rnacentral:tRNA from 1 species